UAGGGAAUCUUCCACAAUGGACGCAAGUCUGAUGGAGCAACGCCGCGUGAGUGAAGAAGGUUUUCGGACCGUAAAGCUCUGUUGUUGGUGAAGAAGGAUAGAGGUAGUAACUGGCCUUUAUUUGACGGUAAUCAACCAGAAAGUCACGGCUAACUACGUGCCAGCAGCCGCGGUAAUACGUAGGUGGCAAGCGUUGUCCGGAUUUAUUGGGCGUAAAGCGAGCGCAGGCGGAAGAAUAAGUCUGAUGUGAAAGCCCUCGGCUUAACCGAGGAAUUGCAUCGGAAACUGUUUUCUUGAGUGCAGAAGAGGAGAGUAGAACUCCAUGUGUGGCGGUGGAAUGCGUAGAUAUAUGGAAGAAUACCAGUGGCGAAGGCGGCUCUCUGGUCUGCAACUGACGCUGAGGCUCGAAAGCAUGGGUAGCGAACAGGAUUAGAUACCCUGGUAGUCCAUGCCGUAAACGAUGAGUGCUAAGUGUUGGGAGGCUUCCGCCUCUCAGUGCUGCAGCUAACGCAUUAAGCACUCCGCCUGGGGGAGUACGACCGCAAGGUUGAAAC
rnacentral:rRNA from 1 species